AGUAGCGGCAGCAGCGGCGCCGCCUCCCGGAGUUCAGACCCAGGAAGCGGCCGGGAGGGCAGGAGCGAAUCGGGCCGCCGCCGCCAUGGAGCUGAGAGUCGGGAACAGGUACCGGCUGGGCCGGAAGAUCGGCAGCGGCUCCUUCGGAGACAUCUAUCUCGGUACGGACAUUGCUGCAGGAGAAGAGGUUGCCAUCAAGCUUGAAUGUGUCAAAACCAAACACCCUCAGCUCCACAUUGAGAGCAAAAUCUACAAGAUGAUGCAGGGAGGAGUGGGCAUCCCCACCAUCAGAUGGUGCGGGGCAGAGGGGGACUACAACGUCAUGGUGAUGGAGCUGCUGGGGCCAAGCCUGGAGGACCUCUUCAACUUCUGCUCCAGGAAAUUCAGCCUCAAAACCGUCCUGCUGCUUGCUGACCAAAUGAGGAAAUGGAAAUGUGCUGAGCCUCAGCCUUGAGGCUCCAGUGGCUCAGCUCACUGGCUUCUGGAGGCUCCGGCGGCUCAGCUCACUGGCUUCUGGAGGCUCCGGCGGCUCAGCUCACUGGCUUCUGGAGGCUCCCGCGGCUCAGCUCACUGGCUUCUGGAGGCU
rnacentral:sRNA from 1 species